UACAGAGGUCUCAAGCGUUGUUCGGAUUCAUUGGGCGUAAAGGGUGCGUAGGCGGCGCGGUAAGUCGGGUGUGAAAUCUCGGAGCUUAACUCCGAAACUGCAUUCGAUACUGCCGUGCUUGAGGACUGGAGAGGAGACUGGAAUUUACGGUGUAGCGGUGAAAUUCGUAGAUAUUCGGAAGAACACCAGUGGCGAAGGCGACUUACUGGACACAUAUUGACGCUGAGGUGCGAAAGCGUGGGGAGCAAACAGG
rnacentral:rRNA from 1 species